ACCCCCGGUCGUGACCCUGGCCUGCCUGUUGCCCUGAGACUGCUGGUGGGCGUGGUUUCUGAGCUCCAGACUUUCCCACCUGAAGCACAUCUGCAAUCAGCACACCAGGGCCUCUGCCAGCAAUCAACACGCCUUUAAAGGAUCUGCCAACCUUCCAGUCCCCGCCGGAUCGUUGUACUUCAUCCAAGCCAGGACCUGCGCCACGCGGAUUCCCUCCUAUGCCACGGAGUCAUCUAGACUCUGGGACCAGAGCUGCAGACCCACAGAGCGACCACCACACCCAAACCUCUCCCAGGACUCCCCUAGAGCUCAAUAAACCACUUUCAGUGCA